rnacentral:lncRNA from 1 species
GCCAUCAGCACCCCUUUCCACGAAGAUGUCUGGUGUUCACUCUCAGAUGAAGAGAGGGAGUACUCAAACUCUAGGAUUCCUCAUAGCCCAAUAGACAGCAGCUUAACAGAAUUUCAACAGAAUGUUAAUUACACACAUAUAAUGAAUACUAUGCAUCAGGUAUUGUUCAAAUAACUUUACAAAUAUUAACUCAUUUAGCCUUAUACUACCCUAAUGAGGCAGGUAAAAUUAUUACCCCCAUUUUAUAGAGGAGGAAAUUGGGGCACAGAGAGGUUAAGUAACUGGCCCAGGGUCACACAGCCAGGAAGCCCAAAAGCCAGGAGUUGGCUCACAUUUUUAAUCUCUGCACUCUGCUGCCUAUGGAUUUGUUGGUUUCCUUCUUUUUCCAAUCAUUAAAUUAUCCUAACAGUUUUAUUGAGAUAUAAUUUAUAUACCGUAAACAUCACCCAUUUUAAGUGUACAAUUGAACAAUUUUAGUAAACUUAUCAAAUUGUGCAACCAUCACAACAAGCCAACUUUAGAGCAUUUCUAUCACCCUGGGAAAGAUUCUUUGUGCCCUUUUGCAGUCACUGUUAGUUCCAACCUCUGCUUGAAGCAACCAUUAAUCUUUCUGUCUCUGUAGAUUUGUCCUGGAAAUUUCCUAUACAUAGAAUCAUACAAUACGUGGUCUUUUGAGUCUAGCUUCUGUCACUUAACAUGAUGUAUUUGAGGUAGAUCCAUAUUGCAGCAUGUAUCACUCCAUUCGUUUUUGUGAUCUAAUAAUAUUCCAUUAUAUGGAUUUACUGCAUUUAGUUUAUCCAUUCACCAGCCGAGAGGCUUUUCCAUUGUUUCCACUUUUUGGCUGUGAUAAAUAAAGCUGCUAUGAACAUCUGUGUACAAGCCUUUGACUGGACAUAUAUUUCUCUUUCUCUUUAGGUAUAUGCCUAGGAGUGGAAUUGCUGAUUUGUGUGGUACAUUUAUGUUUACUUGUUGUAAAAACUGCUAAAUCUAUUUCCCAAAGUGCUGCACCAUUUUCCAUUCCACAGCCAUGGAUUUUAUAGACUGUGAGGUCCCGAUGCAAAUCCUAGGGCCACCCAUACAAGCAGACAGAGCCCAAUUUAGGGUCCUGGAACCAACCUAGGUGUAAAAUGAAGCCAUCUGGGGAUGGGGGGGACUGAGUCAAGCUCAGCCUCUCUGCAGCUUCUGAUGUCUGAGAAACAGGUGGGCAAGAAAUCAGCUGUUCUACUUUCUAAUCCAGAAAAACAUUGCCCUCUGGGACCUAGAGCACUUGUUAGGGGAAAAUCAGCAAAGUGGCGAUAACACCAAAAGGAAAAACAGAAACACACUGUGGAGACGUCAAGGGCGAUCUCAGCAAAGGAAGAAAACCAGCUUGAGAAGGCAGCAGUAAAGGCAGUUGGCCUGCAGCUCCCAUGCUCCGGAAGCCUUUAGUUCCCACUGCCAGCAUCCUCAGAGCCCUUUCCGACUACCUCGGAGGCCAGCGAGAGGAUAAUGGGGUGAUGGCAAGGGGGAGCCCCAGGACUCAGCUGCCUAUGGCUCUGAACAGACAGUGCUGGUCCAGCCAGGGAAGGCCUUCUCCAGAGGGGCACUGCUGGAGGAAGGAAGGAAGGAACGCCGCUGCCCGCCUGCCAGCCAGGAUAGCUCUGAGUGUCACCAGCUCUCCAGUUUGUGCCACAUGUUAUCUAAGGAGUCAUUUCACUAUUUAAUAAAGAGAUCCAGCUUUUGAUAGAGAGAAUUUGACAUGUCUGGCAGCAGCUGCAAAGGACAGAACUUUAUAAUGAUGGCCCGUGGUGGGUGUCUACACACACAACUGCCUGCCCAGCUUCCUCCUGACACGUCCCCUCACAUGGGAGUGAAACCGACAUGGCACUGCUGAAACACACAGAGUACACAGGGAUGGCACAGGGGGCAUGCCUUGCAGAAUGGAAUGGGCCUCUGCUUGCUGCUGAAUGCCACGUGCUCAGGACAGGUGGUAACUGUACUGGGUCGAAUUGCGUCCCUUCAAAUUCAUGUCCACAAGGACGCUGUGAAGGUGCUCCUAUUUGGAAAUAGGGCCUUUGCAGGUAUAAUUAAAGGGAAAUGAGGUCAUAUCAGAUUACAGUGGGCCGUAAUCCAAUGACUGGUAUUCUUUCCUAUAAGAGGGAAAUUUGGGCACAGACACAGAGAAGACACCGUGUGAAGACACAGACACAGAGGAGAGAAACUCAUAUGAAGACAAAGGCAGAGGCUGGGGUGAUACAGCUAUAAACCAAGGGACCCCAAGUGUUGCCAGGAAACCCCCAGAAGCCAGGACAAAACAAAGUAGGAUCCUUCCCUAGAGAUUUCAGAGGGACCAUGGCCCUACUAACACCUUGAUUUUAGACUCGUGACCCCCAGAACUGUGAGAUAAUACAUUCCUGUGGUUUAAAGCCACCCAGUUUAUGGUGCUUUGCCAAGGCAGCUCCAGGAAAUGGAACAAAAGCUGAGCCCAGGCUGCAGGUAACAAACUGUCCAUGCUGGCAGGUGGCAGAGGGGGAAGGACAGGCAGAGAGGGCCGCAUGGAGGAGGCACCUCCUUUAGUUGUGCCUGAGGUUCAGGCAGAAGGCCCAGAGAACAGAAGUGAAACUAGAGGCUCAGCAUGGCUCCUGGUAGAAUUGGCUUUAAUGGCUCAAGUUUUUUCAUCUUUGCUUCCUCCAACUUGCCUGGAACAGGUACUGCACACGGUAGGUGCCCAUUACGUGCUUAGUGUUUAUGGAUGAGCUCUGCAUGUGGGAAAACAAACGACAUGAUUGGCCAGUUGGCCUGGAGAGAGCUAGCCCAGCUUUAUUUAAAAAGCCAUUCAGAGGCGGCUGCUAUGUGCUGAGUUGGCAGAGAAGCAUCAGGCCUCUGAAAGUCAGCAAUAAAGAGUCGGCUUACCGAGGCCACAUGCUGAGCCCAUAAUCCCACUUCAGAAGCUGUAGCUUUAGCCUGAGCAUGACCCGACACAUGAAAUUGCUUGGCUCUUCCCAGUAGCCAGAGCCACGGAGCACAGGAGUGAGAGGCCAGCCACAGAGGAGGGUGGAUAUCUGUGUACCGCGUGGGAUUCUGUGUGUCGCAGCGCCAGGCCUGGCAUAGAAGUCAGUGGUCAGCACUGGGGCUGGGGACUUGACUGAGCUGUUGACAGGCCUGUUGAUCACUUGCCCAGUGGCCUGCCACCUCCUGUUAGGAGCUAGCUGGUACCGGGCAGGGAAGUCCCUCUGUGAGGAUCUAGCAUGACCAGUCCACUGAAAUUCCUUCAGGCACGUAGAGGACUUUAUAGUCUACCUGGCUUCCUCCCAGGACCCAGGGUGGGAUUGGCUCAGCUAGGCAGCUGGUGAGCUAGAGAAAUGGGAAUGACCCUCCACAUCAGCCUGACACCGGGUAUUAAAUCACUGCACCAAGUAUGUCAACACAACGCCCAGGUGGCCGCUGGACAAUAAGGCCACAGGGCCCCAGAGAGUGGCUGGACUUUGCUGUCUCGUCUGUACCUUGUGUGAGAGCUUGAGACUCAGAGGAGCCCGUGGGGCACAUGGAGGUGAACUUAGUCCCAGAUACAUUGUAUGGACGUGGUCAUGGGACACCAGUACUCAACAGCCUAGGCACAGAAAAGAACAUCACUAACACAGGCUGGAAUGGGUCACAGGCACAGGCUUUAUCAGGCGACAAGGAUCAUUGAUUGGCCAUGAGUCGCAGUCCUGUGGGUGAAGAACAAGCCACAGAUACUGGAGCAUCAAUAUCUGGGGGUCUUUGUGAUGGUGUCCAGAGAGUCCAGACCACUGAGGAGGUGGCGUCCACAGUGGAUGAAUACACAACGGGCAGGCCAGGUUCUGCCAGUGACCCCAAGCAGAGCACCAGCCCCUGUGGCCACCUACCCCGCUGUGCCCUCUGCUCCUAUGUCACUUGACCCAAAGCAGGUGGGGAGCAGGAGGCAGGGAGCCAGCAUCAGGGUGCAGAAAGGGCAGGGAGGGGACAAAGCCCAGAGGAGAGCUGGAGCCACCUCUCGGAGGAAGACCUGGCCCCAUCCCCUCCCCACUCCUACUGAGACCUUCCGCUGCAGUCAGCAAGGGAUGCAGGGCCCGGGGCUGAGUGCUGGGAAGGAGGGGCGGGUGUGAAGGGGGAAGGCAAAUGGGUGGAGCCGGUGCUGGAGCUGUCCCAGAGCUGGCUCAGAGCCCUGGGGAGGGAGCUGACCCUCUGAGCCUGGGUUAAGACGGAGGAGGAGGGAGUCAGCUCUCGACCCCAAAACCACCUGUUUCCUCUCACUCUAGCACUGGUGGAGGGGAAGCUGCUCAGGACAGGGCGCCACAGCUGGAGAGGGACGUGAUCAGAUGCAGGACAGAGCAGACAGGUCCUGGCACGGGCCAGGAGCUGAGACACUCAACACUGAUGGCUGCAAACCACCCGCACCAUCAGCCGGGGGCUCCCUCAGGGCUGGCUUUGGUGUCUAUCAGAAAAGGGUCUGAGGUCCUAGUCCCACCCGCUCAAUGCUUCUGCCAGGCAGGACAGGGCCAAGGAGCAAUAGUGGUUGCAUUUCCUUUAAAACUACUGUUUCAUUAAAAAACAAAACAAAACAAAACAAAAAACUAGCUCUGAACAUGAAGAAUUAUAUCCAAGAAAGACACCUUGACAUUUUUUGCUUUAUUAAACAUCAUUCACUGAGAAUUUCCAAAGCACUGUGUGGUGCCUAGACCUGUGUACCAGCGCUCUGGGGGUCGG